AUGAAUGACAGGGGCUGUUGCUGCAGCAUGUGGGUGAUGCGGUUAUUUGGCGAGGGGCGAGCUUGCUGUCGUUUCGGACUUGGUUCUCUCGUUUUCUCAAGGUCAGCCCGGUUGGAUUCUGUGUCCCGGGAUGUUGUUCUCUUUGAGCACCGACGACCGCGUUUCUUUCGCCUACUCGGAGUGUUCUGUGGAGCCCAAGCCGGCUUCUGGUGCUACUUGGCCCACUUCGGAUUUACCUCCCUAAGGGACACAGCGCAACAGAAAAAGCAAGAGGGAAAGGAAUCCGGGAGAAACCUCGGCUCCCCUCUGUGGAGGACAGGAUUCACUCUGAGCUGCAUUACAGUGGGUUCCCUUAUAUUGGCGGCUGGCUUGCUGUUCUCACGCAGAUCAGUCAGUGCGAUUACACUUCAUGGUGGUGGAGAGAGGGUAACAAUUGUCACAGCAGGCUUUUUUGGCUCGGAGUCUUCCUUCAGUGUACCCUUACGUCAUAUUUCUAGUAUGGCUCACCGCUCAGAGGUCCCUGCAAUGAUACCCCUCAAGGUCAAAGGACGACCCCUGUACUACUUAUUGGACAAGCAAGGGCAUGUAUCCAAUGCCAGGCUCUUUGAUAUUACUGUGGGCGCCUAUCGAAAAGUGUGAUUUUUUUUUUUUUUUACCAAAAUUUCCUGUAUAUAAAUGUAAAAGUAUACUACAGUAAAGCCAAUAGAAAAAUAUCAUUCUCAAAGUUGACUUACUGCUGAUUUAUCCAUAUAUGUAUUGAAAACAAAAAAAGGCAAAAUAAUAGAAUAAAGCAGGGAAAUCAGACCAGCUGAAGAAUUUGUCAAAACGAAUCAAAAUGCAGCCAGUUGUUCAGUCUAUACAAAAACAUUUGUCCCUUUUUAGAAAAGCAAAGUACAGCACAUUUUAUACCAGUAGACAAACAUAAACAAUAGAAAUUGCAGAAAUUAGUGUACACAGUGAUAUAUAGAUAUGCACAACAUAUGGCCCUUUGCAAUGGUUUCCACGCAAGAUUCUGUCUGGCACUGUAGCAGACAUUGAUUUCUACGGGGUGCUAUAGAUUUAAAAUAACCUUUGACCCCAUUAGUAUUCAUUUUAGUACACGGCCGCUGCACCUUUUAAUUAGACUGUAAUCUAAACUACAAUGGCAGAUAGAGUGAAAGUUCAGCUUAUGCUACCCUACCUCCAGUUGUGGCGACUUUUCCUAUCAUGGGCAAUUUUUGGGCAAAGCGAGAAGCUGUAGCUCCAGAACCUGUAUGCAACUGGAAGUCACUCUGAAACCUGCGUCCUCCUCCACCUCUUCCAGCCUGUCUUCCUCCUGUUAAGAAAGUAAAACGUGGUGUUGCACGAGGGGUCAGUCUGCUCUUUUGGAAUGCCUCUUGUGUUCUCUGCCCCUGUCUGGAUGUCCCUCUAGGCCUAGAUGCAGCAGAAAUUUGCAUCUGGAGGGCGGCGAUGACAUGGUUUUCCCACAGUAACUGCUUUGUCUUCUCCGUGGGCAGUGAGUUGAGGCAUCUUCCUUGUCCCAUCCGCAAUGCGUUCUUUUUUGGGUUCCUGUGUGUUCAGUGGUACCCCACCAUGAUGUGAUUGGUUUCCCCCUGUUCCAAAACGCACAGAUAGGCUGUCUCCAAAGAAGCAGUACAGUUCACGGUACAUCUCUAGUAAGGGUGCCGAGGGGGGUGAGCAGACUGUAUGGUGGGGUGAAGAAGGCAGGGCAGAUGAAGUUAAAUCAGAGGAGCGAGCUUUCAUCUUGAGGAGACAUUCCACUGCUACCUUUGAAUAUAAACACAUAUCAUUAGAAAAAUAAUAGCUUUCCCCAAUAUUGGUUAUAUAUUUUAAAUCUAUUUCUUUACAAACAUCUUAGGUUCAGAUUCUGCACUAAUCUGCAUAUCCCCAUGUAAUUUCCAUUUUAAUAAUUUUCCCUUUACUUACUAGAAUAGCUCCAUACACCUUGUGUCCAUCUGCUUUGACUUGUGCAUUAGACAUCAGUCUGCAACCCUGCCCAAUAGGUAGGAAGGAGAGGAUACAAGAUUUGCUCCACUGCCUGUAAGAAACCAUCUAUUUAUAUAUCUAUUUAUAUAUCAAUUCACACCCUUCUCUUAUUUAUUUAUUUACUUACUUAUCCAGUGUGCCAUGCACAAUAAACCCUUGGUUUGUUGACGUUAGUAACAACAGUAUCAAAUAAACUGCAUUUGAAAAAUCCCAAAUCUGCAUUAUACCAGCAGUUAAAAAUCCAAUACAUAGAAAAGGGAUAUAUACUGCAAUAGUAUAUACCACAUGUAGUCUACCUCUCUGAUCGCCUGUGUUUGUGCCUUCUAAAUCAAUCAACAUAAAUAGAACAUCAUCUCUUAUUAAUGGUGCCCUGAUCCUAAGAAAUAGGAUCUGUUUGUAAAACAACCAUAGUAAUUCUUUCACGACAACUAAUCCUCCAUAAAAACAUUGAGACUGCACCAACUGUAAGAGGCGACUCAGCUGUUCCAGAUCACGACUAACAGACUUAACCUGAGUUCAGGGUAACAAAAGAUAGGAAGGUGAGUGGGGCAUUCCCAAAACAAAAAGUAAACAUCAAAAGUGAGAUUACAGAUCUAAAAUUAUGGGACAUAUUGGUUCAAUACUUACCCCAUUUACAACAUAAACAAAGUAUGGUAAAAGGGCAGCAAUCUUUGAAUUUGUCUGUAAAUCUUGAAGGGCAACCUAAAAUCAGAAAGAUCAGCAUGGGUGCUAAAAUAUUAUUUCCCUGUGAGAAAUGCAUUUAGAGUAUUUUCUUUUGUUGUUGUUCCUGUAAAUGUUGUGGCUUGUCUUAAAGUCUGUUUAGCUACAAGUCAAUUCUAAUAAUACCUUCUUCACAGCUGAAUAUAAAUAGAAGCAGAACAAAAAAAAAACUACAUUAUUACAAUAAAAAAAAUGUAAUAGACCAAUGCAAAGCAUGGCCACAAACACGUAUAAGGACUAUUUAUUUAUUACUGAUAUUUCGAUAGCACCGCCAAGUUUAAGUGAACGGCUUUGAUACAGUUCACAGGAUUGCUUGUCAAACCUACAUUGACAAUCUGUAGAUUUUGGCAAAUGCCAGAGGGACUGAUGUAAGAUAAACAGCUGGCUAUACAUGGGCCAAUAUAAGCUGCUGACAGACCAAGUCGGCAGCUUAUCGGGCAGUGUAUGGGGCCUUCCGACCGGGCUUCCCGAUCGAUACCUGGCCAAAAAUCAACUUGAUGUCGAUCAGCCAGGUUUAAAAAUCCCAUCAGAUCCGACUGCCUUUAUUUUCAGUGUUGUGGUCUGAUCGUUGGGCCCUGAGGCCCACAAUCAGAUCAGGCGGAUAUCUCCCACCUCAAGGGGAGAUAUCUGCUCAAUCUCUGCGUGUAUGGCCACUUUUAUAUUACUUGCAAAUCCAGGGAUUAUUCUGAAUCUCAGUCCGGACCUGGAUACAACAUUCAGUUGCUUAUUAUAAUUUUAUCAAGGAAUGAAUUUAGCAUUCCUUCCUCAGCAUCACAAAUAUUAGAAUGCUAAUAGUAUUAUUAUAUAGGAUACCUGGGUAAGCUCCCGGAGUCUAUAGCAUACAUCUUCAGCGAGUAAUGCAACAACCUCAUCUGUUGUGAUAUCCAGACCCACACUUGCUGCAAUUAAACGUACUGAAUCCUGACACAGCUCUACAUACCUUCGGUCUUGUGUGUGAGAUAUUCCUAAACGAAGAACAAAUGAUCCCUAUAAAAUAUGACUAUUUUUGCUCAAAACAUCACCUAAUGAUAAAGGCACACCUGUACAAGAUUCAUUUUGUCUCAGUUUUAGUGGAUCAAUAGGACAUAAUGUUAGCUACAUGCAGAAGAUUUAAUAGAAAUGUGUCACAUUAAGCUACCAUCUUUAUUCCCAUGGAAAUGAUGUGCUGUGCACCACAUGCAUCAGUAAGUAUACAUCAUCUGUACACAAAUAUAAGCUUUUGUUCAACAUUGAACCAUGAGUGGAUUCCAGCACUGACACGUUAGAACAAUGACACUUUAAAAGUAAACAAAAAUAAAUGGGAAUUAGUUUAAUGCAUUUGUAGAUCCAGGGAAACCAAGAGAUAGACUGGAGAUCCAUAGGGAAUGCACCAAACAUUAAUAACGCCGGCACUGACAUAUUCGUUUUUGGAAAGUACGUGCUCAGAUGUGGCGGAUACCAGCUACAGUAUAUUAUCUGCACAUCCGUUUAAAUGUAAAGAAGGUGGAGAUUGUGAGAGCACUCCAAGGCUAAGUAAAAUCUCUCUCUAUGCUGCCGGCUCCUGUUUUGCCCCGCCCCUUCCUUAACAGACACGUGACCCAAGAUUGUAAACUCCAAAUCUGCCACAGAGGGAUGAUGAAAACGCCGCCAAGCGACUGCGCUAUCUGUCGCAGCAUGAUGACGCUUGUGUAUGGACACUUGUGAUUGGUCCAAUUCGCAGUGGGUGUACCUGACUGCGUUUGUGAUGGAGCUGAGCGCUGAAUUUACUAACAGAGACGGGAGUAGCCAUCCGUUUCAGGUGAGAUGUGAGCGGACACUGAAAGGACUGGCGAAUGGCCUGGUGCAGCUAAAAGGACAAGUGUCCGCCAUUUUGACUGAGCUGGUGCUACAAGAGAAGGGAGAGGGAACACUAACAGCUGGCGAUCAGGAGGCUGCCGAUGAAGAGGAUGACGAAGAAGAUACAGAUGAAAAAGAUUUUUCUGACAAUGGAAUAAGCAGCAAUGGACCUCCUACUAAAAGAAACAAAAUACAGGAUUAAAUGGGCUUUACUUCAACUUUAGUUUGGUCCUCUCAGGGUAUUUUUAAAUAAUGCACAUGCUUCUUAUACUGCAUGUUUUGACAUGGACUGAAAUAUAAAGAUACAGCUUUUUUUCUGGUAUGUAAGUUAUCACUGUUAAAUGCACACAAUUAAACAAGACUUUUG